UACCCCAUCAACCAGAAGGGAUUCCUUCUGGUCAAUGGAAUCAUUAUACAUCAUCAACCGGAAGGGAUUCCUUCUGGUUGAUGGGGUU
rnacentral:miRNA from 1 species